CCGUCCAGCCUUCAGUUGCUGCUUCCCUUGCCAAAGCAGUGGUGGGGAGCGUGGGGCGGACGCAGAUAAAAUGUUCCUCUUCGUUUAGGAGGGCUCCUGAGGAGUGCUGUGCUGCCUUCAAAGGCACAAGAGGACAUC